ACAGGCUGCUUGUUGUUCGGGUUUCACAAGUUUGCCCUCUGGUUUUACUGUUAAAGAGAGGCCAUUGUAACUGAGAACUAGCUUCGAAUACAGCUGCUGCUACAUCUUUCCAGGCUUAUGAGAUAAUCCUGUUUUUGGUAGCCAGGUAUUUAACAUCUGUCUUUCAACGGGCUUUGAUGGAACUUGAUCAAGAGUGUUCCUCUAGAAUCUGAAGUUUAUAAACUUUGUUAAUACUGAGAAAUGUCUCCAUCCUAGGUAAGUCAGCAACCUUAGGCUUCUAAGCACAGAAAUGCCUAAUUUGGAUACUGCUGAAUAUUGAAACUGAGGAAGAGCCAUGCCAAGGCAUAGUCAGAAUGAAGUGCAUGGUGUGAAAUGUAUGAAGCCUAAACCAUUGAUUCUACUUCCCUGUAUUACACACCCAAUUUAUUCAUUGUGUGAUUCUGAGAUGAAAAAGGUAUUUUUAUUUCUUUAAAACAGUAAUCUAGCAGAUAAUCACUGGGAAAAUAUUAAAAUGCUAGUCAUCAAACAGGUAUAUGGCAAAGAACAUCAUUUUGAUAAAGAAAAAUACAAAAAAGUUUACGAAGUGGCAUGCUACUUCUGAUCUUUUUCUAUUAAUAUAUAUGGUUUAAAAUCAUAUUUGGUAUAUUGCAUAAAUAUUUAUUGAAAGUGAACAGAGUCAUGAAUGAGCCAGGAAAUAUUGCAGCAGAUACCAAAGAAAUCUAGGAUAUUAAAUAGGAAUAGUUUGAAAACUGUACUCUAGUAUGUUGUAAAAUCUAAAAGAAAUGCAUAAAUUUCUAUAUUCUCUCAAAGUACUACAGUUAAAUGAAGAUGAAAUCAAUAACCUAAACAAACCCUGUGGUUACUUGAAUAAGAAUGGCCCCAGUGGGCUCAAUGUUUGAAUAUUUGAUCCUCAAUUGGUAAAACAAUUUGGAAAGAAUUAGGAGUUAUGGCAUUGUUGGAAGAACUACGUCACUGGUAGUGAGUUUUAUAUUCCACUCAAAGGCUCAGUAUAUUCCUAGUUAGCUCUUACUGUCUUAUGUUUGAGGAUCAAGAUGAAGCCUUCAGCUCUGGUCUAAUGGCAUGCUUACCUGCCUGAUGGCAUGCUUUCUAUCUUGAUGCUCAUGGAUUCUGACUCUCUACAAUUGUAGGCCACAAUUACAUGCUUUCUUUUAUAACUUGCCUUGGUCAUAGUGUUUUAUUAUAGUAGAAAAGUAACUCAGACAGAACUGUAGCAAAUAAAGAGAGAAAAUAGUAAUAAAAUACCGUUUGACUAAAGAACAAAAAA
rnacentral:lncRNA from 1 species